rnacentral:rRNA from 1 species
UGCGGCGUGCUUAACACAUGCAAGUCGAACGGAAAGGCCCUGCUUUUGUGGGGUGCUCGAGUGGCGAACGGGUGAGUAACACGUGAGUAACCUGCCCUUGACUUUGGGAUAACUUCAGGAAACUGGGGCUAAUACCGGAUAGGAGCUCCUGCUGCAUGGUGGGGGUUGGAAAGUUUCGGCGGUUGGGGAUGGACUCGCGGCUUAUCAGCUUGUUGGUGGGGUAGUGGCUUACCAAGGCUUUGACGGGUAGCCGGCCUGAGAGGGUGACCGGCCACAUUGGGACUGAGAUACGGCCCAGACUCCUACGGGAGGCAGCAGUGGGGAAUAUUGCACAAUGGGCGGAAGCCUGAUGCAGCAACGCCGCGUGCGGGAUGACGGCCUUCGGGUUGUAAACCGCUUUCGCCUGUGACGAAGCGUGAGUGACGGUAAUGGGUAAAGAAGCACCGGCUAACUACGUGCCAGCAGCCGCGGUGAUACGUAGGGUGCGAGCGUUGUCCGGAUUUAUUGGGCGUAAAGGGCUCGUAGGUGGUUGAUCGCGUCGGAAGUGUAAUCUUGGGGCUUAACCCUGAGCGUGCUUUCGAUACGGGUUGACUUGAGGAAGGUAGGGGAGAAUGGAAUUCCUGGUGGAGCGGUGGAAUGCGCAGAUAUCAGGAGGAACACCAGUGGCGAAGGCGGUUCUCUGGGCCUUUCCUGACGCUGAGGAGCGAAAGCGUGGGGAGCGAACAGGCUUAGAUACCCUGGUAGUCCACGCUGUAAACGGUGGGUACUAGGUGUGGGGUUCAUUCCACGGGUUCCGUGCCGUAGCUAACGCUUUAAGUACCCCGCCUGGGGAGUACGGCCGCAAGGCUAAAACUCAAAGGAAUUGACGGGGCCCCGCACAAGCGGCGGAGCAUGCGGAUUAAUUCGAUGCAACGCGUAGAACCUUACCUGGGUUUGACAUGGAUCGGGAGUGCUCAGAGAUGGGUGUGCCUCUUUUGGGGUCGGUUCACAGGUGGUGCAUGCCUGUCGUCAGCUCGUGUCGUGAGAUGUUGGGUUAAGUCCCGCAACGAGCGCAACCCUUGUUCACUGUUGCCAGCACGUUAUGGUGGGGACUCAGUGGAGACCGCCGGGGUCAACUCGGAGGAAGGUGGGGAUGACGUCAAGUCCUCAUGCCCCUUAUGUCCAGGGCUUCACGCAUGCUACAAUGGCUGGUACAGAGAGUGGCGAGCCUGUGAGGGUGAGCGAAUCUCGGAAAGCCGGUCUCAGUUCGGAUUGGGGUCUGCAACUCGACCUCAUGAAGUCGGAGUCGCUAGUAAUCGCAGAUCAGCAACGCUGCGGUGAAUACGUUCCCGGGGCUUGUACACACCGCCCGUCAAGUCAUGAAAGUUGGUAACACCCGAAGCCGGUGGCCUAACCGUUGUGGGGGAGCCGUCGAAGGUGGGACUGGUG